GGGGGUGUUGCUCAGUGGUAGAGCACAUGCUUAAUGAGCAGGAGAUCCUGGGUUCAAUCUCCAGUACCUCCA